ACCUCAUCUAAUAGAUAAAUCUAUCCAAGGACAAUAUAUUAAAUGGAUUUUUGGAUUUGGGAGAUGGAAUAGGAGCUUGCUCUGUCCACUCCACGCAUCUACCUGGUAUUGCAGUCCCUCCAGGAACCAAACACCCUCG
rnacentral:snRNA from 1 species